UGCUACCCUGCAGUUACACUGUCUGC
rnacentral:piRNA from 1 species